GUAGGGGGCAAGCGUUGUCCGGAUUUAUUGGGCGUAAAGAGCGUGUAGGCGGCCGCACAGGUCCGUUGUGAAAACUGGAGGCUUAACCUUCAGACGUCGAUGGAAACCGUGCGGCUAGAGUCCGGAAGAGGAGAAUGGAAUUCCUGGUGUAGCGGUGAAAUGCGCAGAUAUCAGGAAGAACACCCGUGGCUAAGGCGGUUCUCUAGUACGGUACUGACGCUGAGACGCGAAAGCGUGGGGAGCGAACAGGAUUAGAUACCCUGGUAGUCCACGCCGUAAACGAUGGGUGCUAGGUGUGGGGGGUGUCGGCUCCCCCCGUGCCGAAGCUAACGCAUUAAGCACCCCGCCUGGGGAGUACGGCCGCAAGGCUA
rnacentral:rRNA from 1 species